AUAACAGUGACUGUCUCACGGUGUUUUACGCUCUGCACUAUCGUGACCUACUUCUUCUAAUAAUCUAAGCAUCUUCAUCUUUGAUUCGUCUAAGCAUUGGUCUCUCUUUGAUUUCCAGAAUUCCUCUCGUCGUUUUACUCCAGAAAAGAAAAUUGUUUUUGCAGCUGUGGAAGAUAUGAAUUGGGUUCAGCGUAAGAUCUACCUUUACAAUGUGACUUUUGGGCUUUAUAUGUUGGAUUGGUGGGAGCGUUGUACUUUCAAUAUUUUGGUGUUUGUAUUAAUGUGUUUCGUUAUACGAUAUGCUACUCAAUUCAUCAAGAGGUAUGUUUAGUAAGAAGCAAAACCAUUCUCACGAGAAGAAGCAAAUGUAGAUGGUUACUUGGGAAUUUAAAUUAGUUGCAGCCGGUGUAUUUGGUAUAGCUGACUAGGGAAUAUCUUGAUUUAGAAUGACUUGGAAUUUCUUAAAGCUACCCAUAAAUUGCGAUUCUCAUGCCUACUACUAUACACCGUCAUGAAUCUUAUUUGAACGUUUCUUUUCUUGUAAGCUUGUAUGGUAUGCCAAGUGGUAUUCUUUACAUUGUAAUAAUUAUUGAGAAUGUUCAAUGCUAAGUUUUGACUUUUGAAGAGUGAAAACUGUGAUCUCAUCGCAGUGCCAUCAAAGGUUUCAAAAUAGGGAAUGACUGAAGAUGUUGGAAU